GACGAACGCUGGCGGCGUGCCUAACACAUGCGAGUCGAACGGAAAGGCCCUGCUUUUGUGGGGUGCUCGAGUGGCGAACGGGUGAGUAACACGUGAGUAACCUGCCCUUGACUUUGGGAUAACUUCAGGAAACUGGGGCUAAUACCGGAUAGGAGCUCCUGCUGCAUGGUGGGGGUUGGAAAGUUUCGGCGGUUGGGGAUGGACUCGCGGCUUAUCAGCUUGUUGGUGGGGUAGUGGCUUACCAAGGCUUUGACGGGUAGCCGGCCUGAGAGGGUGACCGGCCACAUUGGGACUGAGAUACGGCUCAGACUCCUACGGGAGGCAGCAGUGGGGAAUAUUGCACAAUGGGCGGAAGCCUGAUGCAGCAACGCCGCGUGCGGGAUGACGGCCUUCGGGUUGUAAACCGCUUUCGCCUGUGACGAAGCGUGAGUGACGGUAAUGGGUGAAGAAGCACCGGCUAACUACGUG
rnacentral:rRNA from 1 species